UACAGAGGGGGCAAGCGUUGUUCGGAAUUACUGGGCGUAAAGGGCGCGUAGGCGGCCUGUUAAGUCGAACGUGAAAUCCCCGGGCUCAACCCGGGAACUGCGUCCGAUACUGGCAGGCUUGAAUCCGGGAGAGGGAUGCGGAAUUCCAGGUGUAGCGGUGAAAUGCGUAGAGAUGUGGAGGAACACCAGUGGCGAAGGCGACUUUCUGGCUUAUAACUGACGCUGAGGCGCGAAAGCGUGGGGAGCAAACAGG
rnacentral:rRNA from 1 species